AUGUGGACCAUGGACUUAGGAAGAGAUUUGGACACAAAGCAGAGAACACCGAAGAGCUGCUCAUUUGCACUGAAGUGGUUUGCUGGCUUUCUGCCUAGAUCUGACAUCUCUUCAAAUGGACGGUCCCAACUCUCUCUCAAUUCUCUUCCCCCUUCUCUAAGAAGAAACAGACCCAGAAGUUUCAGUAAGUUGCUCCAUCACAUUGCCAGGGCAGAUUCUGAAACUCACUCUAAAGCAUCAAGACAAUCUUCCCUGUGCAGAUCUAGACCAGUGUCUGGAACAUAGUGGGUACAAUAAAGAGUAAACAAGUGAGUAAUUUUUAUUCCAAGUGACUUCUCUGUAUUGCCAAAAAUGAAAUCUGAAUAAGAAAGUUCAUCACUAUUGAAGAAAGACAAAAAACUUCAACAUUUAUUGAUUAUCUGUCGUGUCCAGUAUAUUAACCAAUGACGUUAUACUUUAUAUUUUUUGUUCCAGAAUAGCUGUGUUCAGACUGUAGCAUAAGAAGCCCUGUGGAUUAUUAAAGAUAUGGUAAAAUAAUUCCAUUCCAAAAUAUAAUUUCUGAACGAACUUGGGAAUAAAUGCAUGGUUUUCCACAAUGAUGACUUCAAAGGAAAUGGUGCUCACUUGGAUCUUUGAUGGGACCUCUCUCUGUUGCCCAGGCUGACUUUGAACUCCUGGGCUAAGGGAUUCUGCCACCUAAGCCCCCUACGUAGCUGGGAUUACUGGAGUGUGCUACUGUGCUUGGCCAUGGAUCUUUUAACAUUUUAUAUACUAAAAGAGAAACAUUUUUAUGGCUUCAGUUCACAUACUUCUAUUUGUAUUACUGUAAGCAGAUUACUGUGUUUGGAAAGGUCAAUUCUCAAGGCUUCUCUUUCUACUUAGCAAUUAGUUCCAUGCUUUAUAUGUGCAAUGUAAACUGUGUAUCAGUUACCUGGAAUAUUUUUGUUUUGAAGUGUUUUCCUUUUUGUUUCAUCUAAAGAAAUGCUCAUAACCCAUUUUAUUAGACUCAGAAAAACCUUCUUGUUCUAUUCCCAAAUCAUCCAAUGUCAAGUUUGCCAAAGUUGACUGGUAUGGGAGAGGUCUUUACCAUACUGGUGAAUUACACAAGGUCAAAAUUUAUUUGCUUUGAUUUUUAAAGACAUCCAAGGGGGAAAAGGGAAGUAAAUGCUUGGUUAUUUAUUACAGUCCUGACUCUCAAUGUGGUUUCUAACUUCAGUGUCCUGUCUUUGUUGACUGUACCUUCACGUUUCAGUGCUCCUCCAAGGGGGCUGUUGGGCUCCUGGAGUUAUCUGUCCAUCAAAGCCAGAAGCCAACUCCUGGAGGCUGAGCUCGAGCCCAGGCAUGUCUAGGAAAUGUCUCUAUCUAGGUAUUACCUAACAGGUGAUUUUCUCAUUCUGCCAUGGGUAGUUAUAUUAAUACAGCAGAUACCUGGGACAGCAAAGUACCACCCACAUUAGCGCUAUGAUGUUUGGGUCUGGAAAGCUGAAUCUUUGAGGCUGUGUAACUCUCUAGAUGGGACUGGGUUCAUAAGACUUCGGAUCCAUUGGUGAUGAACAGGCUGCAAAGCACAGCACAGCAUAGGAAGGCCACUACAUCCACUGGAUGGCCAUUCAGCUCUUCUUCCCCUGCUCUUCCAGCUCAGCCCAUUUGCACCUAUUGAUACAUUUUAUCUAUUGCCUUUUAAAAAGUGUAUUAAGGUAAAAUUGUUGUACAGUAAACCACAUCCAUUUAGAGUACACAGUUUAAUGAUGCGUUUCCGGACAAAUGUAUAUAUCCAUGAAACCACCAAGAUAAUCAAUAUACAGAACAUUUAUAUCAUCCCCCAAAUUUCCCUCAUGCCACUUUGUAGCCCAUCCUAUCCUGCCCUCCUCUCUAGUCUCAGACAACCACUAUUCCGCUUUUUGUCUUUAUAGGUUAAGGAGCAUUUUCUGAAAAUUUGCAUAAGUGAAAUCAUCCAGUAGGCAUUCUGUUGGGUCUGACUUCUUUCACUUCUUUCACUUUUACUUUUGAGAUUAAGUCUACCAUUUUUUAUUUAUCCCUUUUGUGUCUUGUUCCUUCAUUCUCCCUUUCUUCUUGUUU
ensembl:lncRNA